rnacentral:rRNA from 1 species
UACAUGGGGUGCAAACGUUGCUCGGAAUCAUUGGGCGUAAAGCGCGCGUAGGCGGUUACUCAAGUUGGAUGUGAAAGCCCCCGGCUCAACUGGGGAGGGUCACGCGAUACUGGUCGACUCGAAGGCAGGAGAGGGUAGUGGAAUUCCCGGUGUAGUGGUGAAAUGCGUAGAUAUCAGGAAGAACACCCGUGGCGAAGGCGGCUCUCUGGAACGCAACUGACGCUGAGGCACGAAGGCCAGGGGAGCAAACGGG